rnacentral:lncRNA from 10 species
GAGCCCCCCGCCCCUUUUGUCUGCGUUAGUGAAGGAAUUGGCUCUUCGAGGGUGCGACUAAAGAAAGCCGUCGAGAGAACAGAUAGAUGUGAUCCAGACAAAUAUGUGAACAAGUGCUUGGAAACACAUAUUUCUGAACAAUUCCCUUUAUGACAAUUCCCUCAGAGUUGGAAGAGACAACAAUUGAUGACUAUAAUGCCAAUUAAGUAGAAUGGAUAUGAAUGUCUGAAAAUAAGCUGGAAAUUUUAAGGCCAAAAUUCUUCGAAAUACAAAGAAAAAACCUUUCUGAAGACAAAUAGCUGUAGAAGUUCUCCUCAAUGCAUACAAAUGAUAAUUCUUAAAACACAAUGACUGAAAGUAUUUAUUUGCAACAAAUUUAUUUGACCACUUAUUCAAGGGCUGCUCGUCCAAGAGCUAUAUUAAGGUCUAUUUACUUUAUCCCUACCAAAGGCGGUAUUUUUUGAGGAUAGAAACUACAUCUCAUGGAGUUUAUCACUCAGAGUGCCUACUUAGGAGACUGCUUGCAUACUGAAUGAAACGAAGGAAGAAUGAAUGAAUAAUUUGGGACCCCACCUCCCAACACACUUCCACAUAUCGAAAUGCACACGGAAUGAGGUAAUGAAUAGAUUUGUAUCAUCAUAAUGUGUUAUGGAAUACUUAGGAAUCAGUGACAUUAAGGGAUGACUUCGUCUGGGAAGAGUGGAACUUAAUGGAUUCCUCAAAAGGACUCUGCACAAGGGUGUGAUAUUGGGAAACUACAGGAACCUGGUCUCUCUGGGUAAGAAGAGU